UAAGUAGUUGUUUUUGGGUUCUGCCAUAUGUGAACGGUUGGUCUGUGCUGUAACUGUUAAGUUUGUAUGUAUUCUUUGAAUGUGUUGUUUGUAUGUAUAUGUUUUUUUUUUUCUCAGGUUGAAGUUCAUUGUUAACGGUGCACUUUCUGAUUUAAGAUUGAUGUACUGUUCAUGAACUAAGAGCAAAUCUGUUGUGGCACCAAAAGGUACACACACCUCUCAUUGUGUGUACCAGUGGUGUUGAACAGGACAAAAUUGCAUUAUAAAAACAUGUAUCUCCUCCUGUGUGCCAGAACUAAUUAUGUUUUUUCUCUCCGAGGUUUGUUCCUGUAUAUAACGUUUCAGCCCCAGGCUCC